rnacentral:snRNA from 1 species
AUCUCUUCUCGGCCUUUUGGCUAAGAUCAAGUGUAGAAAUGAAGCAGCAGCCAUCUGGUAACUCAGCACUAUUGCUUGUAUGAUGACUUCUCUCCAUGGUGGAGGACAGUAGAGUUUGCCACUGUUCCACCACCCCUAGACGUUCUACUAUGGUGUGUUUAGCAUCACA